rnacentral:rRNA from 1 species
GAUGAACGCUGGCGGCGUGCCUAAUACAUGCAAGUCGAGCGAAGCGGGGACGGGGGAGUAACACCUGGAUAACCUCCUAUAAGACUGGGAGAACUUCGGGAAACCGGAGCUAAACCGGAUCCUUAUAGAUGGAUCCUCGCUGCAUUAGCUAGUUGGUAAGGUAACGGCUUAACAAGGCAACGAUGCAUAGCCGCACUGAGAGGGUGACCGGCCACACUGGAACUGAGACACGGUCCAGACUCCUACGGGAGGCAGAAGUAGGGAAUCUUCCGCAAUGGGCGAAAGCCUGACGGAGCAACGCCGCGUGAGUGAUGAAGGUCUUCGGAUCGUAAAACUCUGUUAUUAGGGAAGCGGUACCUAAUCAGAAAGCCACGGCUAACUACGUGCCAGCAGCCGCGGUAAUAC